rnacentral:rRNA from 1 species
UACGGGGGGGCAAGCGUUGUUCGGAAUUACUGGGCGUAAAGGGCUCGUAGGCGGCCAACUAAGUCAGACGUGAAAUCCCUCGGCUUAACCGGGAACUGCGUCUGAUACUGGAUGGCUUGAGGUUGGGAGAGGGAUGCGGAAUUCCAGGUGUAGCGGUGAAAUGCGUAGAUAUCUGGAGGAACACCGGUGGCGAAGGCGGCAUCCUGGACCAAUUCUGACGCUGAGGAGCGAAAGCCAGGGAGCAAACGGG